rnacentral:rRNA from 1 species
GUACCCUACGGGGCGCAGCAGUGGGGAAUAUUGCACAAUGGGGGAAACCCUGAUGCAGCGACGCCGCGUGAGUGAAGAAGUAAUUCGUUAUGUAAAGCUCUAUCAGCAGGGAAGAAAAUGACGGUACCUGACUAAGAAGCCCCGGCUAACUACGUGCCAGCAGCCGCGGGAAUACGUAGGGGGCAAGCGUUAUCCGGAUUUACUGGGUGUAAAGGGAGCGUAGACGGGGCAGAAAGUCUGAUGUGAAAGAUCGGGGCCCAACCCCGGGACUGCAUUGGGAACUGUUGCA